rnacentral:tRNA from 2 species
GCCGAGGUGGCCCAGCCCGGAACGGCGCGAGCCUGGAAAGCUCGUGGGGUUUCGACCCCUCAGGAGUUCAAAUCUCCUCCUCGGCG